AACCAAACACUCAAGUGGCUUUACACUUCAGCCACAAAAAACCAAAAGCUAUCCAUAAUUUAGAGGCUACCCAAAAGCUCAUACUAUUCCCCAUCUGCGAGUGGAAAGGCAACACAAAAGCUUAUAUUGUUCUCCAUCUGCAAAGACAAACAUCCGAGGUUGUACAAAAAAACAAACUGUGCUGAUUUUAAACUAAAAUUCAGCAGUAAGAUCAUAGGUGAUUGGUCCCUACAAGAGGAAAGAACAACAAUUGAAUUCUUUUUAUUAUGAAAUAUCAUCUGAAUAAUUAUGUCAUCGUUGUUAAAUAUUACCAUCAACAACCGAGAAAAUUUAUGGAUGGCCAUACAUGUUCAGGCACCCCUUCCUUCUAGCAAAAAGUACUAGGGACUGCUACAGCACCAUCUUCGAAUUGCACAGUUGUUGUACUAGGGGACAUAUUUUGGACUGCUGGAACACUCUCACCGAAUGGCACCGUUGUAGCUUUUUGUUCCUUCUUAUAAAAGAGAAUGAAAUAAGUAAUACAAUUAGACACUAAUACAAUUAAAAUCAAUCAAAUUAUUCUAGUCUGCGACGUACCACUGAACAUUUUCCCCUUUUCUUAUGUCCCUUUUUAGCCCUUAUGCAUCUUUUCAACCUAACUUUUUUCCGCUUUGAGCUUUUUGUCUCCACCUCCUUCUUCUUUAGUUGUGUUGUACUAACCAAAUUACAUGGGAGAGUGACAUUCGAGGGAGAAGUGAUUGGAUCCACUGUACUACUACAAUUAUUGAUUUCUUCCUCAACUUGCUUGCUAAGGAUGUCAACUUACUA
rnacentral:lncRNA from 1 species